CAAACUCCGGGGUCAGUUCUUGUGGCCCCAGUGGCACCAGUGGCGGGGAAGCCGGGUGCUCCAGUGACCCACCCAGGGAAUGAUGAUGAAACGAGUGAGGAUGAAGCCACAGUAAAGUGGCUUCGUCAGGAGACGUGUGUCUGUGAGAAAUGCUCUGUAGAGUUCUUUAGCAUCUCCGAGUUCCUGGAACAUAAGAAAAAAAUCACACUAAAAAUCUACCUGUUCUCAUGAAUGACAGCGAGAGGCCAGUGUCUUCAGAGGACUUCUCCAGAGCUGUACUUAGCUACCAACCACCCAGUCCAAGCAGUGAGUGAAGCCAGUUGUGGACUCUGUGAUGUACCUAAAGACAGAGACUGUCCUGCCGCCACCCCCAAGACAUAAUUUAUUUACCCAAAGGCAAAGUGGCCAACACAAAUGUGAUCUUGCAGGCACUAUGAGACACCAAGAUGGUGAUGAAUCAGCAGAGUGCAGAUGCGCUGCCUGUCCCAGCACCCAUGUGUGCUUGAGCAGAUCCUAUGUCUGCAGAAGGAGGUACAGCAGGUCCAGCUCACCCAGCAGAUCGCAUCCAGGUGCACAUGUGGACCUCCCAUGCUCUCCACUUUGGUGGUGGGCGACGACCUUGGGCAGUCGCAUGUCCCAGCAGGUUUCUAUGGCUGUGACUUUGCUCAGCCAGAAAGCUGGAAGCCAAGGUCUGUCUCCAGAUGCCUUGAAACAAGCCAAACUACUUCAAGCCAACAUCCCUUCUGCCAACAUUCCUUCUGCCACCAGCUCUCUGUCCCCAGUGCUGACGCCCUUUGCUCUGAAGCCAGAUGGAACCAGGUUGUUCCCAAACGUCAUGUCUCCUCUCGCAAGUGAUUUGCUUCCUCAGAUGCCGGGCUCGAUGCUCUUCCAGAGUCCUUUCUCCAUUGUCGCGCUAGAACCAUCCAAGAAAGGGAAGAGGAAGCCACCGAACAUCUCCACAGUCGACCUCAAACCCAAAGAUGAGGCGGUCCUCUACAAGCACAAGUGUCAGAGCAGUCUCCCUUCCGUGUUUAUCUGAUCCCUGCCAACCUAUGUCAAAGUUGAAGUUCCUGGCACCUUUGUGGGACCCUUAACAUUGUCCCCAGGAUGACCGCUUUGUUAGCAGCCCAGCCACGCCAACAGGCCAAGCAACAUGGCUGCAUGUGGUGUGGGAAGAACUUCUCGUCCACUGGUGCUCUUCGCAUUCACGGGUGGACCCACACUGGAGAGAAGUCUUUUGUAGGCAACAUUUGUGGGCGAGUUUUACCACCAAAGUCAACUUCAAGGUCCAUUACAUGAUCCACGGGGCGAACAAUAACUCAGCCCGCUGUGGGAGGAAGCUGGCCAUCGAGAACACCAUGGCUCUGUUAAGUACAGACAGAAAAAAGUCUCAGAAAUGUUUCCCAAGGAAAUCCUGGCCCCUUCGGUGAACGUGGACCCUGUUGUGUGGAACCAGUAGCCCAGCAUGCCGAGCGGCAGUCUGGCCAUGAAGACCAGUGAGAUCUCUGUGGUCCGGAGUGGGGGUGUUCCUAACCUCCUGCUUUCCUUGGGGGCCAGCUCCAUUGUGAAUAACACCACCGUCUUCAAGAUGGAUGGCUCCCAAUCAGGCAUCAGUGCAGAUGUGGAAAAACCAGGUGCUACUGACAGCGUUCCCUCACUUCCUGGAAGAAAACAAGAUUGCAGUCAGCUAA
rnacentral:lncRNA from 1 species